CAGCAGCCACGGUAAUACGUAGGUGGCAAGCGUUGUCCGGAAUUAUUGGGCGUAAAGGGCUCGCAGGCGGUCUUUUAAGUCUGAUGUGAAAGCCCACGGCUCAACCGUGGAGGGUCAUUGGAAACUGGGAGACUUGAGUGCAGAAGAGGAGAGCGGAAUUCCAUGUGUAGCGGUGAAAUGCGUAGAUAUAUGGAGGAACACCAGUGGCGAAGGCGGCUCUCUGGUCUGUAACUGACGCUGAGGCUCGAAAGCGUGGGGAGCAAACAGGAUUAGAUACCCCUGUAGUCCCUGUCUCUUAUAC
rnacentral:rRNA from 1 species